UCUGGACACAGCCUGAAGUGAAGCAUGCAGUUAAUAUGAUCACUUCAAGCCCCAUCCAAGAUGAGAUGAAGAAGUACCAGAGAUCAAACAUGCUAGGCUCUACUCUUGAGCUGUCUUUGGAGUUCCGGUGAUUGGUCUACUUUCAACAGUUAAAAACAAGGUAUGAGUCAAGAGUCAUAUACUUCCUUUAAGGGCUAGAUGAGCAGGGACAAAAUGGCACAAUUUUUCUUUUCCUCAACAUUCCCUAACAAACAAUAGCCUCUUCUGCAAUACACUAAACUAUGAUUAGGCAACAAGAAAUAAAUACCCAUGCCCAACAAACUCCCCUUCCUUAUGUUCAGCA